rnacentral:rRNA from 1 species
GGCGAACGGGUGAGUACAACAUCGGAACGUGCCCAGUAGUGGGGGACAACCAGUCGAAAGAUUGGCUAAUACCGCAUACGCUACGGGAAAGCGGCGCUAUCGGAGCGGCCGAUUUCCGAUUAGCUAGUUGGUGGGGUAAAAGCCCACCAAGGCGACGAUCGGUAGCUGGUCUGAGAGGACGGCCAGCCACACUGGGACUGAGACACGGCCCAGACUCCUACGGGAGGCAGCAGUGGGGAAUUUUGGACAAUGGGCGAAAGCCUGAUCCAGCCAUGCCGCGUGCGGGAAGAAGGCCUUCGGGUUGUAAACCGCUUUUGGCAGGAACGAAUGACGGUACCUGCAGAAUAAGCACCGGCUAACUACGUGCCAGCAGCCGCGGUAAUACGUAGGGUGCAAGCGUUAAUCGGAAUUACUGGGCGUAAAGCGUACGCAGGCGGCUUGGUAAGACAGAUGUGAAAUCCCCGGGCUUAACCUGGGAACUGCAUUUGUGAC